GCUGCGUCCCCCCACCCCCCACUUAGGCACAAUUCCCAUCCGCCCGCCGCCGCAGGACAGGGCAAUUUCUGGGUUUCCAAACUAGUUUUUUGGAGGUGCUCUGCUUGUACAAAUGAGUCAGACGUCAUAUAAAGACAUCUGAGGGGUUACGGAGUUGACUGACGAUGUAGCCCUAGUAGCAGCUUUGGAAGGGGGGUCAUUUAUCUGCACUCGUGAGAGGUUUUGCAUCUGCUUGUAACAAUAGUCGUAUGUGGCAGGAUUUAAGGAACACGUGUGGUGCUGUACUCGUGGAUUCUCGAGUAAUGUUCUCCAGAUCGCUUCUGGGAGAUGCUGAAGGGCCGCCAGGUGUAGUAUUUUGACAUGGUAGCUAAACAAAGUCCUUUAGCAUAGUUUUAAUUGCUGUGGUCAUUCUGCUACUGGAUUGCUUUAAUCUGUUACUGGGUAGAAAUUCCUUAAUAUUUCCUAUUUAUCAGAAAAGUGGGGGUUUUUCUGUAUCAAAAUAUAACUUUGAUUGAAGACGCCUAUUAUGUGGACUUGCUGUACAUUCUGAUCCCCCCCCCCACAAUGAUGUACCAGCAUGGAUAGAGCAUGGCAUCAAAAAUCUCUCAUGUUCCCAUGCUCAACGGCUUACUGUUCAGACAAACUUCUCUCAUUUGCUUUCACAAUCGUCCUGUACAAAUGCUGGUACAGAUGAUUUGUGUUGUUAAGCAACUGCCUUCACUUUCAUUUGAUUCUGUUAGUGUACAGUGGGCAUUGUCCAGUGGCCAGGAACAGCUCUGUCAGUGUGAGUGACUAUACCACAAAGGGAGUUGCCUUCAAAUUCUUUUGUGUUCGAUUCAUGACAGAGGCUAUUGACAGAGGCUAUCUCUAGAAGUGGAAAACUCAUUGAAUAACAGACAGCCUAUGGAAUGUCAGCCUAAGUAGAGUAAGAGCAGUUUGCAAAAGCAGAAUAAUUUUUCUUUUCAUGGUAUUAUACAUGGAUCCACACGGUAAAACAUGACAGGCUACAGGUGUGGCCUGCAUUGUGAUACUGCAUUUUGAUCCUUGUGCAUGAGUAGUGUGGAGUUCAGGAAUUUGGUGUGUGUUAGGUGUUCAUAACCAGACACUGAGGUAAUGGGGAAGGGGGUCUCAUGAGCAACAUCUGCUGCAGCAGAUGUUAAGAUAUGAUAAUAAUAUCUGUCAGUAACUGGAAAAAAUACUGUUCUUUAAGCCUUUUGUAAGAACUACUGUUUGGUCUAACGAAAAGCAUCAGUCAGUUGACUGCUAGUUGCUACCCCUACAUUCAUUUCUUGCCCUUGUUUCCAGCAGUCCCUCCCUUUUACGUCUAGCACAGCUGCAAGAUGCUUUUGUAGCUGCAUGGUGUUGGUGUGCUUAGGACUUCCUUUGAUCUGCCUUCCCAUCCUGUGUCACCAGCCCUGUGAACUACCGGUCUUCAGACCACACAGGUCCAGCAUCUGCUUGAACUGUUUCAUUGCUGAAUUCAGUCUAGUAACUGAAGGACUGAACAUUUCAGACUGCAGCACAAAAACCUGACGUAAGAACUUGCAGGAUGCCACACAGGUCAAAGCCUGUGUGCCAGCCUCUAAGAGUUAACUGGCCGGUCAGCCCAUGGGGCCAGCAAACAUCCUGCACAGAACUACCAACAGUAAUACUGCUUCUUCAAUGGCGUGUGAAGGAACUUCACAGAGUGUGUUGAAAUAAAGGUGGUGCAUCAACAGACUACACAAGAUAGCCAUUAUGCAGGUAAUCUGUAAAAACAGAAUUUAACUCCAAAGAGGGAGAAUAGUUUGGUUAAUUAGACUAUCAAAACAAACUAAAUAUAAUAUAGAAUAAAAUUAUAAGGUUAAGGUUCAUCUAUCUCAUCAACUGUAAUGCAAAUAUAAGUUCCGUGACAGAUUUGAGAUGAGGCAGGUGCAGUAUGGUCUCAGGUGACUGAUAUGUCCACAUUCCCUAAUUUACAUGGAAAUGUAUGUCUGUAUAGCUAAAGCAUUUGCCCAGUUUUAUAAGCAUAGGUAUGAAGUGUCAGUAUGCACUCAGUUUUUUAAAAACUUAUCUUCAGAUUUUUUAUAUUGAAAGAAAUUCCUCAAUUUCAUGUAGAUUAGUUCUUGAAGGUAGCUGGUGCACAGUAAUAAGGUCAAAGAAGUAUCUCUGAAUCAAGGAUCCAGUGUCAGAUAGUGUUACUCUUAAGCACAUGGUGAACUGUUUUGGUAUAUUCUGCCUUCCCCCAUCUCCAUACCUUGUCUGUACUAAAUAAACUUGCACAGGAAGUUAGUUGGUUUUUGUUGCUUUUAAUUGUUUUAGUAGAAUACUGCUGCUCUUUGGGGCUUUACAUUUUUCCUGAUUACAGAAUGAUACUAAGAAGAAUUAAACUUAAGAAGAACCACUUCUAACUGAACCUACAAGAUUUUUUACACAACAUGGCUCAGAUAACCUUUCUUGUUUGUGUGUGUUUGAUUAUAAAUUGCCAAUAAAAGUAACAUGAUGAAGCUUUGUCA